rnacentral:rRNA from 1 species
CCUACGGGAGGCAGCAGUGGGGAAUAUUGCACAAUGGGGGAAACCCUGCUGCAGCGACGCCGCGUGAGUGAAGAAGUAUUUCGGUAUGUAAAGCUCUAUCAGCAGGGAAGAAAAUGACGGUACCUGAUUAAGAAGCCCCGGCUCACUACGUGCCAGCAGCCGCGGUAAUACGUCGGGGGCAAGCGUUAUCCGGAUUUACUGGGUGUAAAGGGAGCGUAGACGGCAGCACAAGUCAGGAGUGAAAUGCAGGGGCUGAACCCCGGAACUGCAUUGGAAACUGUGCAGCUUGAGUGCAGGAGAGGUAAGUGGAAUUCCUGGUGUAGCGGUGAAAUGCGUAGAUAUUAGGAGGAACACCAGGGGCGAAGGCGGCUUACUGGACUGUAACUGACGUUGAGGCUCGAAAGCGUGGGGAGCAAACAGGAUUAGAUACCCGAGUAGUC